rnacentral:rRNA from 1 species
AUGGCUCCUAAGGCUACCAAGGCCCCUGUAACUUGCAACUGGGUUCCAUCCAUAGUGACCAAUAGCAAAUUAGCUGAGUUUGUAAAGUCUGGGCAUCUGCCAAAAAAGGAUGUCAUGUCGUACCGUGCCCCUGACCCGUCUGAAGAAAAGCCUCACCCCAAAGCAGGGGAAGUAAUAAUUUUUACAGAUCAGAUGAGCCAUGGAUUUGCUCCUCCUGGCUCAAAAUUCUUCAGAGAGGUUUUAAAUUUAUUUGACCUUAGACCUCAAGACAUCGGACCCAAUUCCGUGUCAAAUAUUUGCAUUUUUCAAGUCUUCUGCGAGGUGUACCUGGGAGAAGAGCCAAGUCUGCUUUUCUUCAGGGAACUCUUUUACAUGAACCGGCAAAAUGAACGUGCCAACGGGCCUAGUCUUGAGCUUGGCGGCAUCUCAAUCUAG